GGGUCCAAGAAUUUAAGUUUAAGUUCUUGGAGGAUAAAGUUAGAUGGUCGGGCCGCCAUCC
rnacentral:ncRNA from 2 species